AGCGAACGCUGGCGGUAGGCCUAACACAUGCAAGUCGAACGGCAGCACAGUAAGAGCUUGCUCUUACGGGUGGCGAGCGGCGGACGGGUGAGGUAUACAUCGGAAUCUACUCUUUCGUGGGGGAUAACGUAGGGAAACUUACGCUAAUACCGCAUACGACCUACGGGUGAAAGCAGGGGAUCUUCGGACCUUGCGCGAUUGAAUGAGCCGAUGUCGGAUUAGCUAGUUGGCGGGCGAAUGGCCCACGAGGGCGACGAUCCGAAGCUGGUCUGAGAGGAUGAUCACCCACACGGGAGGUGAGACAGGGACCAGACUCCUGCGGUAGGCAACAGUGGAGAAUAUUAGGCAAUGGGGGCGAGCCUGAUACAGCCAGAGGGCGUGGGGGAAGAAGACGUUCGGGUUGGAAAGCCCUUUUGUUGGUAGGGAAAAGCAGCAGGUUAAUACGCCGCGGUACUGACGGUACCGGGAGAAUAAGCACCGGCUAACUUCGUG
rnacentral:rRNA from 1 species